AUUGAACGCUGGCGGCAGGCCUAACACAUGCAAGUCGAGCGGUAGCACAGAGAGCUUGCUCUCGGGUGACGAGCGGCGGACGGGUGAGUAAUGUCUGGGAAACUGCCUGAUGGAGGGGGAUAACUACUGGAAACGGUGGCUAAUACCGCAUAAACUUGCAAAAGCAAAGUGGGGGACCUUCGGGCCUCACGCCAUGAGAUGAACCCAGGUGGGAUUAGCUGGUAGGUGAGGUAAUGGCUAACCUAGGCGACGAUCUCUAACUGGUCUGAGAGGAUGACCAGUCACACUGGGACUGAGACACGGCCCAGACUCCUACGGGAGGCAGCAGUGGGGAAUCUUGCACAAUGGGGGCAACCCUGAUGCAGCCAUGCCGCGUGUAUGAAGAAGGCCUUCGGGUUGUAAAGUACUUUCAGUGAGGAGGAAGUUAGCUGUUUUAAUAGAGCAGUUAAUUGACGUUACUCACAGAAGAAGCACCGGCUAACUCCGUGCCAGCCGCCGCCGUAAAAC
rnacentral:rRNA from 1 species